UACGAAGGGGGCUAGCGUUGCUCGGAAUCACUGGGCGUAAAGCGCACGUAGGCGGAUCUUUAAGUCAGGGGUGAAAUCCUGGAGCUCAACUCCAGAACUGCCUUUGAUACUGAGGAUCUCGAGUCCGGGAGAGGUGAGUGGAACUGCGAGUGUAGAGGUGUAAUUCGUAGAUAUUCGCAAGAACACCAGUGGCGAAGGCGGCUCACUGGCCCGGUACUGACGCUGAGGUGCGAAAGCGUGGGGAGCAAACAGG
rnacentral:rRNA from 1 species